CCCCUGGACGACGACGAGCUCAUCUCCUACAUCAUCAACGCCCUCGACAUGGAAUACCAGCCGCUGGUCUUUGCCCUCGAUGCUCGUGUCAUCCCAGUCACCCUUGACGAACUGUUUGCUCAGAUGAGCAACUUCGAUC
rnacentral:snoRNA from 1 species